GACGAACGCUGGCGGCGUGCUUAACACAUGCAAGUCGAACGGGGUGUUUAUUUCGGUAAACACCAAGUGGCGAACGGGUGAGUAACGCGUAAGCAAUCUACCUUCAAGAUGGGGACAACACUUCGAAAGGGGUGCUAAUACCGAAUGAAUGUAAGAGUAUCGCAUGAGACACUUACUAAAGGAGGCCUCUGAAAAUGCUUCCGCUUGAAGAUGAGCUUGCGUCUGAUUAGCUAGUUGGUGAGGGUAAAGGCCCACCAAGGCGACGAUCAGUAGCCGGUCUGAGAGGAUGAACGGCCACAUUGGGACUGAGACACGGCCCAGACUCCUA
rnacentral:rRNA from 1 species